rfam:Clostridium saccharolyticum WM1, complete genome.
AAUGUGCUGUAUGACUGACGGAAGUGGAUUCAACCACAGGGAGUACAGCGUUUUGGAAAGCCGACCGUCUGGGCAUGAUGC